UCAGAUGGCCGGAUGGCCGCUCGAUUGCGAGGCUGUGCUGAGGCGGGCUUGCCCGUUGAAGCGCAUAGUGCGCAGCCGGGAGGAAAGUCCGGGCUCCACGGAAACACGGUGACGGAUAACAUCCGCCGGGGGUGACCCCAGGGAUAGCGCCACAGAAAUGAAACCGCCAACCCCGGUUCGCCGGGCGGUAAGGUUGAAAUGGUGCGGUAAGAGCGCACCGCAGGUCCGGCAACGGAACUGGCAAGGCAAGCCCCACCGGGAGCAAGACCAAAUAGGGAUGGCAGAGUGACCCGUUUCCGGGCCGCCGUCCGGGUAGGUCGCGUGAGGCAGUCGGUAACGGCUGUCCCAGAGGAAUGGUCAUCCCUUUGCUUCGGCAAAGGACAAAACCCGGCUUAUAGGCCGUCUGACGCA
rnacentral:RNase_P_RNA from 1 species